UGUUUUUCAUCAGAAUAUUAGAAUAAUGAUCACUUUUUCAAUUAUUUCACAGUUCGGUAAAACCCCCAAAAGAGUUACUAUCUGAAGCCGAAGAGUCUGUCCAGAGCAGUAUGGGUACAAAUUUUUAAAGUAAAUUAUUCUAGAUGGUCUCUUCUGCAUAAAAACAAGGGGAAGACAUAAAUACAACAUCAAAGUCUUUAUUCAGGUUCUCCAAAAGUCCUGCUCCUGAUGUUGCUGGGCCUCCAACAAAUGAUAAUGACAGUAGUUGUACUAACAA